UGAGUACGAGCUGCUACGGCAGCGAAGUGGGUGAUGUCAAGCUUCCAAGAAAAGCCCUAUACCCGUUAAGGCAUGACGGCCUGUACCCGAAACCGACACAGGUGGGGUGGUAGAGAAUACCGAGGGGCGCGAGAUAACUCUCUCUAAGGAACUCGGCAAAAUGGCCCCGUAACUUCGGGAGAAGGGGUGCCACCGCAAGGUGGUCGCAGUGAAGAGGCCUAGGCGACUGUUUACCAAAAACACAGGUCUCCGCUAAGUCGCAAGACGAUGUAUGGGGGCUGACGCCUGCCCAGUGCCGGAAGGUUAAGGAAGCUGGUCAGCGCAAGCGAAGCUAGCGACUGAAGCCCCGGUGAACGGCGGCCGUAACUAUAAGGGUCCUAAGGUAGCGAAAUUCCUUGUCGGGUGAGUUCCGACCCGCACGAAAGGCGUAACGAUCUGGGCGCUGUCUCGGAGAGAGGCUCGGCGAAAUAGAAUUGUCUGUGAAGAUGCGGACUACGUGCACCCGGACAGAAAGACCCUAUGAAGCUUUACUGUAGCUUGGUAUUGCGCCCGGGCUCUGAAUGCGCAGGAUAGGUGGGAGGCUUUGAUCCAUUGCUUGUGGGUGAUGGUGAGCCACUGGUGAGAUACCACUCUUUCAGAGCUAGGGUUCUAACGGUCACCCGUUAUCCGGGGACCGGACAGUAUCAGGUGGGCAGUUUGACUGGGGCGGUCGCCUCCUAAAAGGUAACGGAGGCGCGCAAAGGUUCCCUCAGGCUGGUUGGAAAUCAGCCGACGAGUGUAAAGGCAGAAGGGAGCUUGACUGUGAGACCUACAAGUCGAACAGGGACGAAAGUCGGCCUUAGUGAUCCGACGGUUCUGAGUGGAAGGGCCGUCGCUCAACGGAUAAAAGUUACUCUAGGAUAACAGGCUGAUCUCCCCCAAGAGUUCACAUCGACGGGGAGGUUUGGCACCUCGAUGUCGGCUCAUCGCAACCUGGGGCUGAAGUCGGUCCCAAGGGUUGGGCUGUUCGCCCAUUAAAGCGGUACGCGAGCUGGGUCCAGAACGUCGUGAGACAGUUCGGUCCAUAUCCGGUGCACGCGCAGGAACAUUGAGAGGAUUUCUCCCUAGUACGAGAGGACCGGGAGGAACGCACCUCUGGUGUACCAGUUAUCGUGCCAACGGUAAACGCUGGGUAGCCAUGUGCGGAGCGGAUAACCGCUGAAAGCAUCUAAGUGGGAAGCCCACCUCAAGAUGAGUGUUCCCAUGGCAUAAGCCAGUAAGGUCACGGGAAGAACACCCGUUGAUAGGCUCUACGUGGAAGCGUGGCAACACGUGAAGCGGAGGAGUACUAAUAGACC
rnacentral:rRNA from 1 species